rnacentral:rRNA from 1 species
GAUGAACGCUAGCGUACAGGCUUAACACAUGCAAGUCGAGGGGCAGCAUGAACUUAGCUUGCUAAGUUUGAUGGCGACCGGCGCACGGGUGAGUAACACGUAUCCAACCUGCCGAUGACUCGGGGAUAGCCUUUCGAAAGAAAGAUUAAUACCCGAUGGCAUAGUUCUUUCGCAUGGUAGAACUAUUAAAGAUUUAUCGGUAAGCGAUGGGGAUGCGUUCCAUUAGGCAGUUGGCGGGGUAACGGCCCACCAAACCUACGAUGGAUAGGGGUUCUGAGAGGAAGGUCCCCCACAUUGGAGCUGAGACACGGUCCAA